rnacentral:lncRNA from 1 species
CUCACUGCAACCUCUGCCUCCCAGGUUCAAAUAAUUCUCCUGCCUCAGCCUCCUGAGUAGCUGGGACUAUGGCUGCAUAUCACCAUGCCUGGCUAAUUUUUGUAUUUUUAGUAGAGAUGGGGUUUCACUAUGUUGACCAGGCUGGUCUUGAACUCCUGACCUUGUGAUCUACCUGGUUCAGCCUCCCAAAGUUCUGGGAUUACAGGAGUGAGCCACCAUGUCUGGCCUGAAUGUCUUUCUUCUACUUGUUCAAUUCUAUUGGUGAGACUUUCUAGAGCAUUUUGCAUUUCUAAAACUGUGUCCAAAAUUUUCUAAUUUUUUUUGUUUUUAAUAUAAGUUAUCUAUUUCCGCAAAUAAUUCUUUCUUCACUUUUUGCAUAAUUUUUUGGAUUUCCUUGCAUUGGGCUUUGCCUUUUACUAGUCCCUCCCUGAUUAGCUUAAUAACUAACCUCCUGAAUUCUUUUUCAGGUAAAUCAGGGAUUUCUUCUUGGUUUGGAUGCAUUGCUGGUGAACUAAAUGAUUUUUUUGGGGUGUUGAAGAGUCUUGUUUUGUUGUAUUACCAAGGUCCUACUUUCAGAAAAUAUAAAGAAAGCAAGGAAGGCAUGAGGAACAAAUGGAAAGGAUGAUAGAUUAGAACUUUUAACCGAAGCAAGCAGACAGAUUUGAAAUGCCAACGUGAACUGUGAGACAGACCUAGAAUGGGUUACGUGACUGCAACCAACGUAGAAAGACUGCACCAGCAGAAAUGGGGAAGGCUCCCACCAGAUUUCUUCAUGAACUCAAUGUGUGCUUCCUGUAGUUGACCCAUAGGUGUGGGGUGGUGGUGGUGGGGUCAAUCUUAAGCAUCACAAAGAGUGUAAAAUAUCUCAUGUUAAUUUUUAUAUUGGUUACUCAUUUAAAUGACAGUUUUGUAUAUCUUGAGUUAAAUAAAAUGCAUUAUUAAAAUUAAUUUCACUUGUUUGUUUUUUACAUUUUUAACGUGGGUACUAGAAAAUGUGAAACUAACCAUGUUGUUAGCAUUUGCUGCUUGCAUUGCAUUUCUAUUGAACAUUACUA